UUACGAUCGUAUUUCCGUUGUCACGCAUUUUCACUGGGAAUUCGCCAAUGCCGAAUUUUCGCCGCGAAGCGAGAGGGUCCAUUGAAAAACGGGGGCCACACGAGUAAAAACACGUCUCACAGAAACAACGGACUGAUCGUCGCGUUUCUUCCGGGAAUUAGCCGCCGUUAAAUGAAGAGGACAGAACCGGCCAAAGUCAAAGGGAUGAUUUAUAUGAAUCGACGAAACUCUACGAUUUGGUUCUUAAAAGCUACUGUGAAUAAUCGGGCUGUUAACAUAAUUAACAAAGUAAGUAAGAGAGAGAUGUAAUAUAUUAUUUAUUUAAGAAAAUUUUUUACACUCGAAUAGAUAUUCCAAGUUACAAUUACAUGUUAUUGCGAAGCACGAUUAUAUAUAUAUAUAUAUAUAUAUAU